rnacentral:snRNA from 1 species
ACUGCUUCUCAGCUUUUUGGGUAAGAUCAAGUAUAGUUAUCUGUUCUUAUCAGUUUAAUAUCUGAUAUGUCCUGUAUUUGAGGACAGCAUAUUAAAUUGAUUUUGGGAACAGGAAGGUGAAAAGGGGCUUGCUCCAUUCACUCCACACAUCAAUCUGGUAUUGCAUGCUUCCAGGAAUGGUGCAACCACA